rfam:Ovis aries breed Texel chromosome 12, whole genome shotgun sequence.
UCCCUAGUAGCUCACAGGGUAGAGAAUCUGCCUGAAAUGCAGGAGACCUGAGUUCGAUCCCUGGGUUGGGAA